CAGUAGCCGCGGUAAAACGGAGGGAGCUAGCGUUAUUCGGAAUUACUGGGCGUAAAGCGCACGUAGGCGGCUUUGUAAGUUAGAGGUGAAAGCCUGGAGCUCAACUCCAGAAUUGCCUUUAAGACUGCAUCGCUUGAAUCCAGGAGAGGUGAGUGGAAUUCCGAGUGUAGAGGUGAAAUUCGUAGAUAUUCGGAAGAACACCAGUGGCGAAGGCGGCUCACUGGCUCAUACUGGACGCUGAGGUGCGAAAGCGUGGGGAGCAAACAGGAUUAGAUACCCCCGUAGUCCCUGUCUCUUAUAC
rnacentral:rRNA from 1 species